rnacentral:rRNA from 1 species
UACGAAGGGAGCUAGCGUUGUUCGGAAUCACUGGGCGUAAAGCGCACGUAGGCGGAUGUGUCAGUCAGGGGUGAAAUCCCGGAGCUCAACUUCGGAACUGCCUUUGAUACAGCACGUCUUGAGUCCGGAAGAGGUGGGUGGAAUUCCUAGUGUAGAGGUGAAAUUCGUAGAUAUUAGGAAGAACACCGGUGGCGAAGGCGGCCCACUGGUCCGGUACUGACGCUGAGGUGACGAAAGCGUGGGGAGCAAACAGG